UUUCCUCCGGCUUUUGAUAUGCUUAAGUUUAGCGGGUAUCCCUACCCGAUUCGAGGUCGAUCUUGAAUAAGUGGUUUGUUGCUCAGGACCGCGAGCGGCACCUGAGGGCGGGCGGCGCGAGGAGCCCAAUGCGAGUAGAAGUACUACGCAGAGGACGUCGCGGGCGCUGCCGCCGCUGAACUCCGGGCCGCGCGGCCUGCCUGGUAGGCAAGGCGGCGCGCUGGCCCAAUGCCGAGGGUGCCCAUCCAGAAGAACGGGUUCCUCGAGGUUCUUAUCCGACGCUCGAACGGGCAUGGCCGCCGGAGUGCCGGCGGCCGCAAGGUGCGUUCAAAGAUUCGAUGGUUCACUGAAUUCUGCAAUUCACACUACGUAUCGCAUUUCGCUGCGUUCUUCAUCGAUGCCAGAGCCAAGAGAUCCGUUGCCAAAAGUUUUUACUCGUUUUUAUUGUCUAAUUCAGAUUGAGCGCAGAGCGUUGAAUGAGCGUUUGUGCGGCUGCCGGCGGCGGCGGUCAACGCGGAGCAGGACCGAGGGAGCGCCAUUUCUGGGCUCACUCGAGCCGCCCCACGCUUCCGCGCGCUCGCCGAGGCAACGUAUGUAGGUAUAGGUUCACGGGGUUGGCAGAGCCUGAGACCGUUGCGGGUCCGUUCUCUAAUGAUCCCUCCGCUGGUUCACCAACGGAGACCUUGUUACGAUUUUUUACUUCC
rnacentral:misc_RNA from 1 species